rnacentral:rRNA from 1 species
AUGUGAAAUCCCCGGGCUCAACCUGGGAACUGCAUUCGAAACUGGCAGGCUUGAGUCUUGUAGAGGGGGGUAGAAUUCCAGGUGUAGCGGUGAAAUGCGUAGAGAUCUGGAGGAAUACCGGUGGCGAAGGCGGCCCCCUGGACAAAGACUGACGCUCAGGUGCGAAAGCGUGGGGAGCAAACAGGAUUAGAUACCCUGGUAGUCCACGCCGUAAACGAUGUCUACUUGGAGGUUGUGCCCUUGAGGCGUGGCUUCCGGAGCUAACGCGUUAAGUAGACCGCCUGGGGAGUACGGCCGCAAGGUUAAAACUCAAAUGAAUUGACGGGGGCCCGCACAAGCGGUGGAGCAUGUGGUUUAAUUCGAUGCAACGCGAAGAACCUUACCUGGUCUUGACAUCCACAGAAGAAUCCAGAGAUGGAUUUGUGCCUUCGGGAACUGUGAGACAGGUGCUGCAUGGCUGUCGUCAGCUCGUGUUGUGAAAUGUUGGGUUAAGUCCCGCAACGAGCGCAAC